GGAAAACCUACAAAAUCCAGAAGGCAAUGAAUGGAACUAGCAAUAGUCCCACUUCGUUCUGUGAAGCAUUUCCUUUUCAGUGAUUAAAGCUUUUGCAAUGCAAUGGCUUUAAUCUUGUCAAGUUGUGUUUUCCCAGAAACUCGCUCCAGUGGUGGAUAUCAAAAUGGAGUUAGUGCCAGUGAAAAAACAUGCCUCCCCCAGCAGACAGAAGGGUUAUAAAAAAGCUCAGAUUCUUUAAGAAGUGCCCUAGGAACACAGGAUCGCUGUACCACUCUAACUACGACAACUAUCUGAUAGUGAUAGGACCCUAGGGAGAGGGAGGCUCUCUGGCCACUGCAACCUCUCUUCUCUCUCUCUCUCUCU
rnacentral:misc_RNA from 1 species